rnacentral:rRNA from 1 species
CCAAGGAGUCUAACAUGCGCGCAAGUCGUUGGGUGAUACGAAACCUGAAGGCGAAGUGAAAGCGAGGGUGCAGAAUCCUGUUCUGUGCUCAGGUGGGAUCCCGCCUCUGUCAGAGGGGGCGGGCGCACCACCGGCCCGUCUCGUUCGCGUCGUCGAUGAGGCGGAGCAAGAGCGUGCACGUUGGGACCCGAAAGAUGGUGAACUAUGCCUGAGUAGGACGAAGCCAGAGGAAACUCUGGUGGAGGUCCGCAGCGAUUCUGACGUGCAAAUCGAUCGUCAAACUUGGGUAUAGGGGCGAAAGACUAAUCGAACCAUCUA